UACGAAAGGAGCAGGUGUUAUUCAGAUUAACUGGGCGUAAAGGGCACGUAGGUGGUUUUGUUUAUGUGUAUUAUUAAAUUGUAAAGCAUAACUUUAUAACGUAUUACAGACAACAAAACUAGAGUUAGGUAGAGGGUAGUAGAAUUUCUAAUGUAAAGGUGAAAUUUGAUAAAAUUAGAGAGAAUACCAAUGGCGUAAGC
rnacentral:rRNA from 1 species